ensembl:lncRNA
AUUUAUCCUAUGGUAAAAAAUAAAUUAGAUCAAUAUGUAUCACUUUGAGUAGAUCUCAAAAGACAGUGUUCAGUGAAAAAGAAAAAAAUAAAGCCCCAGAUGAUAUGUAUAGCAAAACUUGGUUUAUGUAAAUAAAACUGCAGAACAGUUAUAUAUUUUCUGUGAACACAAUUAUGUACAUAAAAUGCAUUUUAAACAAUUGGAAGGAACUCAUCAAAUUCAUAAUAGUGUUUCUCCUGGUGGUUGUGGAAGUCUGAGGAGAUGUUAGCUUUAUUCAUUAUGUCUCCAUUUUCUUGGUAAAGGACACUAUAUUCAUAUGUUAUUUAUAUACUUUUUAAAGGUAUAGACAAAAUGUAAGAAGGAAAAGCACAAAUGCCAAGAUGUUUUACAGUGAUUAUUUCUUAGGGGUGAGAGCAUAAACAAUGACAUCCAGGGUGAACGCUGGCAGAAAGGGCAGUGAUGGGAUGCCUGGGUGUGCAAGGUGGCAGUAAUGGUUAGAAUGGAGGAGGGGGUGCUCCCAGGCAAUGACUCAGCUUCCACUGGGUGCCAAGGUUUCAAAUAACCCUCCUUGCAGUGGGUUUUGGCCAAGUCUACCCAGGGUGCUCUUUUCAGGUAAGACUCCUCCUCUUCUUAGGAAACUCCUUCUCCCUCCUCUUUUAUUUCAGAAUACCAUCUGAUGGCUCAGCAGCCUAGCACUCUCUGCCCCUCUGGGAAGACAGAAGCCCCCUACCCUUCCAGAGCAGCAAAGAAAGGGUAGGCAAAGGGAAGACAGCCGGAGCUCUCACACCUGCAGCAAAAGGAAUGGAAACCAUGCAACACCUGGCAGACAGGUAGCAGGAGCUCACCAGCAUAGCCAAAGUGCCUUUCUCCAAACACCAGGACAACUCCUGCUUGCUCCAGCCCAGGGGUCUCUCAGUGAAUGGAGCUACCACCAAGUCAUCGUUGACUCAUGUCCUGCUUUCACCUCUGCAUCUUGUAAAUCAGCAUGUCCUAGACCCCAAUACCUUCUCAUCACCUCCACCGUAACCACAGGAGUCAAGCCUCAUCACCUCCUGAUGGAUUAUUUUGCAAAAGCCUCCUAAACAGUUUCUGGUUUUGUUUUUAAACUCUACCCCCAACAUGGGACUCAAACUCACAACUCCAAGAUCAAGAGUCGCAUGCCAUACCGACUGAGCCAGCCAGGGGCCCUCUAACUAGUUUCUUUGCUUCAUUUGUCCUUCAGCCCGAGUGAUCCAAGUUGGGGGGUUGACCAGCUGCAGCCAGCAAGCCAAAUCUGGUCCAUGAGCUAAAAAUGAUUUUCAUGUUAUUAAAUGGUUGGAAAAAAAUUCCAAAGAAUAAUAUUUUGUGACACAUGAGAAUAUGAGAUUCAGAUUUUAUUGUCCAUACAUAAAUUUUAUAGGAAUACAGUCAUGCUCAUUUGUUUAUGUAUUGCCCAUGGCUGCUUCCGCAGAGCUGAAGAGUUGGUACAGUGAUCAUACAGCCAGCAAAGGCUAACUACCAGGGUCAUCAUCCCCUCCCCAAUCUCCUCCGAGGGCUUCCUCCUCCCCCCAGAAGGAGACCCAAAGUCCCAGAGGUGCCCCCUGCCUCUCUGACUCUUCCCCUGUCCUCCGACCACACCAGCACCACCGCACUUAAGUCUACUGACUUUGGGUCCCCUCCCCUCAUUCAUUGUGUAUGCUAACCUUUCCUCCUCAGAAAUGCUGUUUCUCUCUUGUGAUGCUCUUCUGUUCUUUGUGUAAGUGGCUCCAUUUUCUCCAGGUUUCCACUCUUUUUUUUUUUUAAG